GAGAAAGCGCGCUGCGUGCGGCCCCGCUGCCCAGAGCCUGCCAGCAGCGCGCCCUCGGCGGCUCCGGUCCCAACCGCGCCCGCCGCCUCGCCUCCUCCGCCUCGGCCGCGUCCGGACUCCCGGGCUCGCCCGGCCUCUCGGAGGUCCCCGCCCGCCCCGGCUCCCUGCAGCGCCGCCCGGCUCCAGCCCCGCAGCUCGCUCGCCCGCCCGCCGGGGAAAGGAAGCAAGCGGGCGAGCGCGCCCUCGCUUCAGCCCCGCGCCCCAGCCCUGCGCGGCGACGAAGGACCGGGAAGAUGAACGGCGGAGGCAAAGCCGAGAAGGAGAACACCCCGAGCGAGGCCAACCUCCAGGAGGAGGAGGUCCGGACCCUAUUUGUCAGUGGUCUGCCCCUGGACAUCAAACCCCGGGAGCUGUACCUGCUCUUCAGACCAUUCAAGGGCUAUGAAGGUUCUCUUAUAAAGCUCACAUCUAAACAGCCUGUAGGUUUUGUCAGUUUCGACAGUCGUUCAGAAGCUGAGGCCGCAAAGAACGCUUUGAACGGCAUCCGUUUCGAUCCUGAAAUCCCGCAAACACUACGACUAGAGUUUGCUAAGGCAAACACGAAGAUGGCCAAGAACAAACUCGUAGGGACUCCAAACCCCAGUACUCCUUUGCCCAACACUGUACCUCAGUUCAUUGCCAGAGAGCCAUACGAGCUCACAGUGCCCACACUUUACCCCAGUAGCCCUGAAGUGUGGGCUCCGUACCCUCUGUACCCAGCGGAGUUAGCGCCUGCUCUUCCUGCUGCUGCUUUUACCUACCCCGCCUCACUGCAUGCCCAGAUGCGCUGGCUCCCUCCCUCCGAGGCUACUUCUCAGGGUUGGAAGUCCAGACAGUUCUGCUGAAGGCUGUGUCUCGGGUGUGUGAUGGCGGCUGCAAUCUGUCUUGGGGGUAUUAAUGCGAUCUUCACUGAUGGCGACUGUCAUCCAGCUGUUCUGCAAAACUGGAGCUUGCUGGUUUGAAAAUGCCUUGCCCAGUUUUGAUCCCUUCAAGACUUUGCCACAGCCUCUAUCACACAUCUGUUUUCCUCAAAGAAAAAAAAACAUAUAAUAAAAUGUGUUUUACUCUUUUACACUGUAUAAUUUUAAGAAAUACGUGUUAUUUGUGAAUGCAUGGUCUGACAUUGCUGUACAGUUUGGAGACAUCCUCGGAUAGAACAAAGACAACAGUAAAGCCAAGACGGUUAGUAUUUUUCUAACAGACAUUUUAAGAAUGGAAGGAUGAGUUCUUACACUAGGUUAGCUCACUUUUGCGCUUCAUUUCUGAAUGCUUUUAAUGUUUAUCUCGUUUUUUUUUUCUAAUAAGCUGCAUGUUUGAGGCAUGUCUCUGAAUAGCAUCGGAACUUCCACAAAUGUGUUGUGAAUAUGUGGACUCCAUCUGCCUGGCCCAGAGUUAGGGCACAUUUUAGUAACAUGGUGUAGAAAUGAACUCUGCAAGAUAACCAAAGCCCCCAGGAACAUCUGUAUUCACAACUGGGCAAAGACUACUACCUAGGUCAUGUAUCCUGAGCACAGUGUACCAUUUGAAAACCAUGGUGGCUCUGGCUGCAACAACACAGGCUGUGUCAAGUGAAGUAUUGCCAUUGUAGACUUGUAUUUAUUAUGUUCUUACGUUCCCCCCUAAGUGCAGGGACCUUGGUUUGGACCUCUGAGGCCCACAUGGCCUCGGGAGAGGCAGGCUGGCCACCCAGCUUGCUUGGCUGCAAUGGGCAUCACAUCUUAAAGUGAAUGUGCACAGCACAUCUGAGCUGGUGUUCUAAAGCCUGACAGCCAUCUGUCAUAGUGUGUGCUCGUGCAUCCUCAGCCUACCCACUACACUGCACUGGGUGGAACAGGUAACCAUGGCCAUUCACACUUUGCUGCAAAACUUCUUCAAAACCCAAAGUUAGUCUUGUUGUAAACCAAUAGGUUUCCAGAGGCUUCUCCCACUCCUCAGAGAAGAGAACAUGUGUAAUAAUCUAUUGACCUCAGAAUUUCCAGCUGCUGAUAUAGCUAGACAUAAUCACAAUCUUUGUAUCUUUGUUAUUGAUCUGCUUGUGUUGUGUUGAAAACGUCAUGUUUUAAUGAUUAAAUCAUUGGUUGGGGGGGUUAUUAUUUUUCAUUAGAAUUAAUAAUGUCAAAUUUUUACAGGUUAUUCCAAAACAGGAAAAAGGAACACCAAGGCCUGGAGUAAGAGCCUUUCACUAAAACUAGAGCAAAGGGGCGGGCAGGGGCUGGGGACUUAGGACAUCCACGCUAGUGUCUAGGACUGCUCGUGCCCUCAGUGCCACUUGGCUUUGAGAUUCCUACUUGCUUUAAAAAAAGAGCGCCACUUCACCAACGAUUAUGCUUUUAUAAAUUGUGUAAAGGUACUUUUCUAUUGUUGUUUUUAAAAAUAAUAAUAAAGUUUAUUCCAGCUAUUA